CAAGCCUAUAGUCUGUAGAUACGCCACUGAUUUGUUUGGGUCUUUUCCUUCACAGAAAGGAGGACGCUGCCAGCAGACAGAGCAAGGAAAAAUAACUUUGUGUUGAGCUCAAUGAAUUCAAUUCAGCUGGUGUUGGAAGAGUGAGGUUUUUCUGUUUUUCCUCUCAACAUGCCAAGAAGGCUUUUGCAGUAAGGACUAGCUAAAAUGUAAUUCUGCAGAGCCCCACAACCUUGGAAAUCACUUUCAUAUAGAACCACAACUAUGUAAGGGCUUGCCUGGAGAGAGCAAGACAAACAAGCCUUCUGUCACAGGAGAAGGCAAGCUUUUUCCCACAUGGGCCUCCAGAGAGAGCACAGAGUCAGAG